rnacentral:rRNA from 1 species
CCUACGGGAGGCAGCAGUGGGGAAUAUUGCACAAUGGGGGAAACCCUGAUGCAGCGAUGCCGCGUGGAGGAAGAAGGCUCUCGGAUUGUAAACCUCUUUUAUUAGGGACGAUAAUGACGGUACCUGAAGAAAAAUCUCCGGCUAACUACGUGCCAGCAGCCGCGGUAAUACGGAGGGAGCGAGCGUUGUCCGGAAUUACUGGGUGUAAAGGGAGCGUAGGCGGGACGACAAGUCAGAGGUGAAAACUGAGGGCUCAACUUUCAGACUGCAUUUGAAACUGGUGUUCUUGAGUGAAGUAGAGGUAGGCGGAAUUCGUGGUGUAGCGGUGAAAUGCGUAGAUAUUAGGAAGAACAUCGAUGGCGAAGGCAGCUUACUGAGCUUUUACUGACGCUGAGGCUCGAAAGCGUGGGGAGCAAACAGGAUUAGAUACCCCUGUAGUC